rnacentral:rRNA from 1 species
UACGUAGGGGGCAAGCGUUGUCCGGAAUCAUUGGGCGUAAAGCGCGCGUAGGCGGCCCGGUAAGUCCGCUGUAAAAGUCCAGGGCUCAACCCUGGAAAGCCGAUGGAUACUGCAGGGCUAGAGUACGGAAGAGGCGAGUGGAAUUCCUGGUGUAGCGGUGGAAUGCGCAGAUAUCAGGAGGAACACCAAUAGCGAAGGCAGCUCGCUGGGACGUUACUGACACUGAGGCGCGAAAGCGUGGGGAGCGAACAGG